rnacentral:rRNA from 1 species
ACCACUCUAGAGAUAGAGCUUCCCCUUCGGGGGCAAAGUGACAGGUGGUGCAUGGUUGUCGUCAGCUCGUGUCGUGAGAUGUUGGGUUAAGUCCCGCAACGAGCGCAACCCUUAUUGUUAGUUGCCAUCAUUCAGUUGGGCACUCUAGCAAGACUGCCGGUGACAAACCGGAGGAAGGUGGGGAUGACGUCAAAUCAUCAUGCCCCUUAUGACCUGGGCUACACACGUGCUACAAUGGGAAGUACAACGAGUUGC